rnacentral:rRNA from 1 species
AGCAGCCGCGGUAAUUCCAGCUCCAAUAGCGUAUAUUAAAGUUGUUGCAGUUAAAAAGCUCGUAGUUGAACUUCAGGCCUGGCUGGACGGUCCGCCCUCUGGGUGAGCACUGUCUGUGGUCGGGUCCUACCUUCUGGCGAAGCGGCAUGGCCUUAACCGGCCGUGGCGGGGAACCAGGACUUUUACUGUGAAAAAAUUGAGUGUUCAAAGCAGGCACGCGCUUGAAUACAUUAGCAUGGAAUAAUGGAAUAGGACAAUGGUUCUAUUUGUUGGUUUCUAGGACCGUUGUAAUGAUUAAUAGGGAUAGUUGGGGGCAUUAGUAUUCAAUUGUCAGAGGUGAAAUUCUUGGAUUUAUUGAAGACUAACUACUGCGAAAGCAUUUGCCAAGGAUGUUUUCAUUAAUCAAGAACGAAAGUUAGGGGAUCGAAGACGAUCAGAUACCGUCGUAGUCUUAACCAUAAACUAUAGCCGACUAGGGAUCGGAUGAUGUUAAUUUUUAAUGACUCAUUCGCGCUAAC